CUAUUUUGAGUCGAGUGAGUGAGUGAACUAUUUUGAGUCGAGUGAGUGAACUAUUUUGAGUCGAGUGAGUGAACUAUUUUGAGUCGAGUGAGUGAACUAUUUUGGAUCAAGUGAAUUUAUUUGAGUCUAUCUUGAAAUAUUGUGCCAUUCUCUUAUUUUGUUUCACUCGAAGACGAUAUAUAGUCAAUUCUUAAGUCAGUUUCAAAUAAGUACAGCAAUUCUUAAGUCAGUUUCAAAUAAGUACAGCAAUUCUUAAGUCAGUUUCAAAUAAGUACAGCAUUUCUUAAGUCAGUUUCAAAUAAGUACACCAAUUCUUAAGUCAGUUUCAAAUAAGCACAGCAAUUCUUAAGUCAGUUUCAAAUGAGUUCAAUUCUUAAGUCAGUUUCAAAUAAGCACAGCAAUUCUUAAGUCAGUUUCAAAUUAGUUCAAUUCUUAAGUCAGUUUCAAAUGAGUCCAGUUCUUAAGUCAGUUUCAAAUAAGCACAAAAAUUCUUAAGUCAGUUUCAAAUAAGCACAGCAGUUCUUAAGUCAGUUUCAAAUUAGUUCAAUUCUUAAGUCAGUUUCAAAUGAGUCCAGUUCUUAAGUCAGUUUCAAAUAAGCACAGCAAUUCUUAAGUCAGUUUCAUAUAAGCACAAAAAUUCUUAAGUCAGUUUCAAAUAAGCACAGCAAUUCUUAAGUUAGUUUCAAAUAAGCACAGCAAUUCUUAAGUCAGUUUCAUAUAAGCACAAAAAUUCUUAGGUCAGUUUCAAAUAAGCACAGCAAUUCUUAAGUCAGUUUCAAAUUAGUUCAAUUCUUAAGUCAGUUUCAAAUAAGCACACCAAUUCUUAAGUCAAUUUCAAAUAAGUACAGCAAUUCUUAAGUCAGUUUCAAAUUAGUUCAAUUCUUAAGUCAGUUUCAAAUAAGUACAGCAAUUCUUAAGUCAGUUUCAAAUAAGCACAGCAAUUCUUAAGUCAGUUUCAAAUUAGUUCAAUUCUUAAGUCAGUUUCAAAUAAGCACAAAAAUUCUUAAGUCAGUUUCAAAUGAGUUCAAUUCUUAAGUCAGUUUCAAAUAAGCACAGCAAUUCUUAAGUCAGUUUCAAAUGAGUUCAAUUCUUAAGUCAGUUUCAAAUAAGCACAAAAAUUCUUAAGUCAGUUUCAAAUAAGCACAAAAAUUCUUAAGUCAGUUUCAAAUAAGCACAAAAAUUCUUAAGUCAGUUUCAAAUUAGUUCAAUUCUUAAGUCAGUUUCAAAUAAGCACACCAAUUCUUAAGUCAGUUUCAAAUAAGCACACCAAUUCUUAAGUCAAUUUCAAAUAUGUACAGCAAUUCUUAAGUCAGUUUCAAAUUAGUUCAAUUCUUAAGUCAGUUUCAAAUAAGUACAGCAAUUCUUAAGUCAGUUUCAAAUAAGCACAGCAAUUCUUAAGUCAGUUUCAAAUAAGCACAAAAAUUCUUAAGUCAGUUUCAAAUAAGCACAAAAAUUCUUAAGUCAGUUUCAAAUAAGUGCAGCAAUUCUUAAGUCAGUUUCAAAUAAGCACAGCAAUUCUUAAGUCAGUUUCAAAUAAGCACAGCAAUUCUUAAGUCAGUUUCAAAUAAGCACACCAAUUCUUAAGUCAGUUUCAAAUAAGUGCAGCAAUUCUUAAGUCAGUUUCAAAUAAGUACAGCAAUUCUUAAGUCAGUUUCAAAUAAGCACAAAAAUUCUUAAGUCAGUUUCAAAUUAGUUCAAUUCUUAAGUCAGUUUCAUAUAAGCACAAAAAUUCUUAAGUCAGUUUCAAAUAAGCACAGCAAUUCUUAAGUCAGUUUCAAAUGAGUUCAAUUCUUAAGUCAGUUUCAAAUAAGCACAGCAAUUCUUAAGUCAGUUUCAAAUAAAUACACCAAUUCUUAAGUCAGUUUCAAAUUAGUUCAAUUCUUAAGUCAGUUUCAAAUAAGCACACCAAUUCUUAAGUCAGUUUCAAAUAAGCACACCAAUUCUUAAGUCAGUUUCAAAUAAGUACAGCAAUUCUUAAGUCAGUUUCAAAUAAAUAGUCAUUUUAAGGUAAUAGUUAAAGUUCACCUACAUAUUUAUUUAAAAAGCUCAAUUACUUAACCUAAUUUAAGUGUAACUGGAUAUAUGCAAUUUCAAGGUGAUAAUUUGGAAGUCCAGUUAUUUAAAAAGCUCAAUUACUUAACUAAAUGUAUUAAAUGUAAUGAUAUAUGUAAUUUUAAGGGAUAUGUAUAAUUUUUAAAGGGAUGUGUAACUAUAUUUCUACAAUGUAUAUUUUUUAAAGGGACGUGUAACUAUAUGCUUACAAUGUAUAUUUUUAAAGGGCAAACAUACAUUUCUAAAGACAUGUAUAAAUAUUUUAGAGAUAAACGUAUAUUUUUGUGACAUUUUUCAAGGUAUACACUUUUAGAUUUUAAUUAUUAAUAGGUUGUAUAUUUGUAAGUAUUAAUAUUUCUUAAUUAAAAGGCAAACAUACAAUUAUAAAGGCAAAUAUUUUAGAGAUAAACGUAUAUUUUUAUGACAUUUUUACGGUAUACACUUUUAGAUUUUAAUUAUAAUAAGGUUGUAUAUUUGUAUGUAUUAAUAUUUCUCAAUUAAAAGGCAAACAUACAAUUAUAAGGGCAAAUAUUUUAGAGAUAAACGUAUAUUUUUAUGACAUUUUUACGGUAUACACUUUUAGAUUUUAAUUAUAAUAAGGUUGUAUAUUUGUAUGUAUUAAUAUUUCUUAAUUAAAAGGCAAACAUAUAAUUAUAAGGGCGAAUAUUUUAGAGAUAAACGUAUAUUUUUGUGACAUUUUUCAAGGUAUACACUUUUAGAUUUUAAUUAUUAAUAGGUUGUAUAUUUGUAUGUAUUAAUAUUUCUCAAUUAGAAGGCAAACAUACAAUUAUAAGGGCAAAUAUUUUAGAGAUAAACGUAUAUUUUUAUGACAUUUUUACGGUAUACACUUUUAGAUUUUAAUUAUAAUAGGUUGUAUAUUUGUAUGUAUUAAUAUUUAUCAAUUAAAAGGCAAACAUACAAUUAUAAGGGCAAAUAUUUUAGAGAUAAACGUAUAUUUUUGUGACAUUUUUCAAGGUAUACACUUUUAGAUUUUAAUUAUUAUAAGGUUGUAUAUUUGUAUGUAUUAAUAUUUCUCAAUUAAAAGGCAAACAUAUAAUUAUAAGGGCAAAUAUUUUAGAGAUAAACGUAUAUUUUUGUGACAUUUUUCAAGGUAUACACUUUUAGAUUUUAAUUAUUAAUAGGUUGUAUAUUUGUAUGUAUUAAUAUUUCUCAAUUAAAAGGCAAACAUACAAUUAUAAGAGCAAAUAUUUUAGAGAUAAACGUAUAUUUGUAUGACAUUUUUAGGACAUACAGGUUUAGAUUUUUAAGUAUAAUGUAAUAUAUAAGUGUUUAUCAUUAAUUUGUAAACUGUGAAAACUUUGCCAUCUUGAAAAAAAUUACUGAUAACACAACCAGU